CAAUAAUGGGAUCUAUAUUAUUUAGCAUUAGUCUUUCUAUUAUCUCUCUUAUCUCCUAUGUUUCUAUCAUUAUUCAUCUAAAGUCUAAAUGGCCAUUUUAGCCCAUGUACUCAACUUUUAAACACUAACAAUGGAAUGGUGUUUCUGUUUAACCUUCUAUUUAAAUGAUCAUUUUACCCAUUUAAGUGAUCGUCUUGUCUGAGGCUAAACAAUAUGUAACUGAUUGUUUGCCAUUUGAUGUUAGGAUCUAGUGCUAAUUAAUUUUGCCCCACUUAAUUAGUUGUUUUUAUUGUGGUUCUUUUCCUGGCCAAAGAAAUAGAUUGAUCAGGUGAAGGUUAUAGGCUUGAGACUAAUUAAAUUUCUCUUUAUUUUUCUAGUUUUUCUGUUUUUUUACUGCAGCGCAAACGUUUAUUUUGGUGCUAUGUACAUCUUUGUCAUGUAAUAUUUUUACACACAUGAUUCUUCUUAGUUUGCACGGUUCCCCCUAUGUUCAAAUCCUAGCUCCGCCCCUGAUGAUCGAUGAUCGAGUUUAGUCGGUGAGCAACUCGUGGUGAACAAGAGUACUUCAGUGAUCAAGAUCAGAGCCUUAGACAACUAGUAAGACCAGCGGGAUCAACAAGAGCAUUUAGAUUAAGGCAAGUAUAACUUGGGAUCAUCCUUGUUCUCUAUACACAAUUAAUAUAACACUUAUCAUUUUCAUGUGUCCACCUUGAUGACCUUAGUAAAAUCAUAGAUGAUUGUUAUCCUGAAUUCCUUGUUACCUAUUUGGUUAUGCAUUUGGGUAGUUCUUGCUAGUGCUUGAUUAUAAUCCAUGAUCUCAUGACACGAAUAUUUGAAUAUACAAUAAACAAUAAAAUAAGCUUUCUAGCAAUUUGAAUAUAAAGGGUGGAAAGAACUCUGGCUUUUGCUAGAUUGAUCUUGACCCUCCAUAAGGACUUAUCCC
rnacentral:lncRNA from 1 species